GGGCGGAUUAGUGGCGAACGGGUGAGUAACACGUGAGUAACCUGCCCUUGACUUCGGGAUAACUCCGGGAAACCGGGGCUAAUACCGGAUAUGAGCCGUCCUCGCAUGGGGGUGGUUGGAAAGUUUUUCGGUCAGGGAUGGGCUCCCGGCCUAUCAACUUGGUGGUGGGGUGAUGGCCUACCAAGGCGACCACCGGUAGCCGGCCUGAAAGGGCGACCGGCCACACUGGGACUGAAACACGGCCCARACUCCUACGGGAGGCAGCAGUGGGGAAUAUUGCACAAUGGGCGAAAGCCUGAUGCAGCGACSCCSCGUGAGGGAUGAAGGCCUUCSGGUUGUAAACCUCUUUCAGCAGGGAAGAAGCGCAAGUGACGGUACCUGCAGAAGAAGCGCCGGCUAACUACSUGCCAGCAGCCGCGGUAAUACGUAGGGCGCAAGCGUUGUCCGGAAUUAUUGGGCGUAAAGAGCUCGUARGCGGUUUGUCGCGUCUGGUGUGAAAACUCGAGGCUCAACCUCGAGCUUGCAUCGGGUACGGGCAGACUAGAGUGCGGUAGGGGAGACUGGAAUUCCUGGUGUAGCGGUGGAAUGCGCAGAUAUCAGGAGGAACACCGAUGGCGAAGGCAGGUCUCUGGGCCGCAACUGACGCUGAGGAGCGAAAGCAUGGGGAGCGAACAGGAUUAGAUACCCUGGUAGUCCAUGCCGUAAACGUUGGGCACUAGGUGUGGGGC
rnacentral:rRNA from 1 species